ACUCCUACGGGAGGCAGCAGUGGGAAUAUUGCACAAUGGGCGAAAGCCUGAUGCAGCAACGCCGCGUGCGGGAAGAAGGCCCUAGGGUUGUAAACCGCUUUCAGCAGGGAAGAAAAUGACGGUACCUGCAGAAGAAGGUGCGGCCAACUACGUGCCAGCAGCCGCGGUGACACGUAGGCACCAAGCGUUGUCCGGAUUUAUUGGGCGUAAAGAGCUCGUAGGCGGUUCAGUAAGUCGGGUGUGAAAACUCUGGGCUCAACCCAGAGACGCCACCGAUACUGCUGUGACUUGAGUACGGUAGGGGAGCGGGGAAUUCCGUGGUGUAGCGGUGAAAUGCGCAGAAUAUCAGGAGGAACACCAGUGGCGAAGGCGCCGCUCUGGGCCGAAACUGACGCUGAGGAGCGAAAGCGUGGGUAGCAAACAGGAUUAGAUACCCUGGUAGGCUCUGC
rnacentral:rRNA from 1 species